rnacentral:snRNA from 1 species
AUACCUUUCUCGGCCUUUUGGCUAAGAUCAAGUGUAGUAUCUGUUCUUAUCAGUUUAAUAUCUGAUACGUGGGUCAAUGGCCCACACGAUAUUAAAUUAAUUUCUUUAAGGGGAGGGUCCACUAUAAUAGCUUGCUAUUGGGGCUCUCACGUGUCGCCCAAGCGUUGCACUGCAGCGUGGGCCUGGCGCACCCCAA